rnacentral:rRNA from 1 species
AAAUUGAAGAGUUUGAUCAUGGCUCAGAUUGAACGCUGGCGGCAGGCCUAACACAUGCAAGUCGAGCGGAAACGACAACAUUGAAUCUUCGGAGGAUUUGUUGGGCGUCGAGCGGCGGACGGGUGAGUAAUGCCUAGGAAAUUGCCUUGAUGUGGGGGAUAACCAUUGGAAACGAUGGCUAAUACCGCAUAAUGCCUACGGGCCAAAGAGGGGGAUCUUCGGACCUCUCGCGUCAAGAUAUGCCUAGGUGGGAUUAGCUAGUUGGUGAGGUAAUGGCUCACCAAGGCGACGAUCCCUAGCUGGUCUGAGAGGAUGAUCAGCCACACUGGAACUGAGACACGGUCCAGACU